AUUUCAUUAAAAAUACAGUAAAAUCAGUAAUACUGUGAAAUAAAUUAAAGAAAAUUCUGUUUUAAAACAAUUUACUCCUGUGGAUUUUCCGCAGUCAUUACUCCACUCUUCAAUGUCACACAAUCAUUUAGAAAUCAUUAUAAUAUGUUGAUUUGGUAUUCAGGACACUUUUCAUGUUAUUAUCAGUAUUGAAAACUGUUAAAUAUUAAAUAUACUUUUCUGGAGAUUUGUGAUAUUUUCCUAAUAUUAACACGUCACAUUCCUCUGUCUGAGCAACACUCCUAUUUCUGUGAAAUUUAGGUAGAGCAAAGAUGGAGCCAGUGAGGAGGAAGAAAAACAAGGAGAGAACGGCAAGAAAGAGGAAGAGAGAGUGAGGGAAGGGGAGGCAGAGAGAGAGACGGAGAAAACAGACUCAGAAAUGGCCGAUGGCGAGAAGGAGAAAGAACGGAAGGAGGGAUCAGAAGAGGGUCAGAGGGAUGGAGAGAGUGAGGGAGAGAAGAAAGCAAAGGUGGAGAGAGAUGUAGGAGAGGGAAACUUGGCCACCGCCGCUGCUUCUGCACUCGCUGCUGCUGCCGUGAAAGCUAAGGUGUGUGAAAAGGUGACAUCAUGGUGAGAAAACAAACAACUUUCCUGCAAAUUAAACACUGAAUGCUGUAUUCUUUCCUUUCGACGACCGAGUGGCGAGGAAGGAAGAAAGGAACGGAGGGGGAUCAGAAGAGGGUCAGAGGGAUGG
rnacentral:lncRNA from 1 species